GAAAAACUGUGGUAAAAAGAGGAGUGGAUCUGUUUCAUGUUGUAGUCACAUUGUAGCUGACUGUAUGUAAGGAGAAGGUUAGCAGAGACAUUCCAGUCUACAUUGUCUCUCAGCCGCCUGUAUACUGUCAUACAAAGAUAUAUGAGGAUUACCACAGCCCCGUCCUCACUCACUCGGGAUUUCCCGCCUCCCGCCCUGCAGUCAGUCAGUCACACAAUUGGACGAGGCCACAGAGAGUACACCGCCCGGAGGACAUGCAGCCUCUGCCGCCCGGGGACCUGUCCCAGCUGGAGCUGGUGGGCAGCGGGGGGUUCGGGGAGGUCUACAGAGGGCGCAGCACGAGGCUGGGGAUGGACAUUGCCCUGAAGAAAACCCUCAGAGACAGCGCAGCUGAUUUGAAAAGCCUUUUGAAAGAGAAAGACAUGAUGUCCAGAGCAAAUUACACCUAUGUUCUUCGUCUGCUUGGAUUAUACGAGAUAGAGGGGAGAACAACAUGUAAUUUUGGUCUAGUUAUGGAGUACAUGCCCUAUGGUUCUAUUUGCACCCUUUUUAAAUGCGUUGAAAAUGUGCCAUGGGCAUUGAGGUUUCAGAUUCUUCACCAAGUGGCGCUGGGUAUGAAUUAUCUCCAUCACGUUCUUGAGCCACCUAUUAUCCACCGUGACCUGAAACCCCAUAAUGUUUUAUUGAACAAGUCCUUAGAUAUUCAGCUAACAGAUUUUGGGCUUGCAAAAAAUGUAGAAUCAGACACCUCAAGUCAAUCUAUGGCGGGCACUGUAUCUUACAUGCCACCUGAAGCCCUAAAAUCCAUCACUUACAAGCCUACAAAAGAGUUUGACGUUUACAGUUUUGCAAUCUUCAUCUGGUCUGUCUUGUCUGCUAAGGAGCCCUAUAAAGGUGUAAACAGAGAAAUGAUUGAAUUGCUUAUUCCACAAUGCCAGAAACAUAGACCUGAUAUGAACUUGGUCAACCAGUGGACAUCCCAGAAGAUGGUUCCUGAAGCUAUACAGCUGAUGCAGGAGUGUUGGGUUGCUGAUCCUAGUAAAAGACCAUUGUUUUCUGCCAUUAUUAAACGGACCGAUGAGAUGAAUUUGGCCUACGCUGGUGAGAUUCACAAUGAAAUUAUUAAGAUUUUGGAUGAACUCAAAAAACAUAACUCUGCACAUUUUCAGGCUUUAGACAAUCCUGAUGGUGGAAGAACAUCAAGUCUUAGGCCUACUAUUCCAGACACCUAUUCCCUCAGUGUAAACAAUUUUAGAGAAAUCCUACAGCUAGCCGAAAAGAGGGGAGCACACGCCCAUAAUACACCUGUUUCCCCAGAGUCCUCCAGGGAAGACAACGUAGAUGCAAAAGAUUUCUUAGAGUCAAACUUUCCCCAGAUUGUUCAAGCCAAACCUGACCUGAGUGAGGUUUUAGAUGUCCUUCUUUCUAAACGUACGAUCACCCAAGAAGAACUAGACACCAUAAAACUUGGCUCCAUCCAGAAUCAGAUCAGGAAGACUUUACAUACGAUCAUCAGCAAGGGACAGGAAAGCUGUAUGGAAUUUCUUAAACUCCUCAACCGUCUCCACGCAGAACUAAUGACCUCACUAACCUCAAAUUCCCUCCCUGGAGACGAAUGAAUGGAGAGGUGGCUGGGCAUGUGCACUAUUCUCCACAUUCAAAGCUAAGCAAAAUUAAACACAUCAGUAGGUUCAACAUUUACAUGUACUGGCAGAGAUCGAACACACCAGAAGAUCACCAGAGGAUGAAGGUGACACCAUCUCUGUGCAUGAAUUACAUUUCCUUAAGUUUCUAGAGUCUUCUCUCCAGCUAAGUUUAAAUGUAAACCUUUUUCUGACUUGUUUAUGAGCCAACCUUCUCCUAUCAUUAAAUAUAAUAAAUAAUUUCUACUUUGCUUCCAUAGCCCGGGAGGUUUCAUAAUAGGAGGAAGGAAUAUUAUUUCAGUCAUAGUGAAUGGGGAGUAGGAGAGACACUAAGGGACAGCAUGUAACACCCACAGGAGAAAUAACUAUAAGGCAUAAACACUAGACAAACGUCACCUGUCUCUCUAGAAUUUAUUCUUAUUUUUAUUCUAAUUAAUGGGAGGAAGCACAUAGAGUUCUGAACACCUGCGAUCUGGGCCCCAGGAGUCAGGGGACAAGUGUUGUACAAUAUGCAAUUAAACUAUAGUAAAAGCAAGUAGAGACAAUCCCAAAGUGCUUCUAACAAGGUAACCAGCAGUCUCCUAGGUCCUAUCCGGAGUCUAUACACAUAGUCCUAUGCUAACCUCUCUACCGGGACAUGAAAACCAUGUGACAAUUGCCAUCAACUGCUGAGUUAUUUUAAUUAUUCUGUUAAUCCUUAGUGUGCCAGUAGGAUAAAACGACUGUAUCUUUCUACCAAGUGUUACAUGACAUGAACAUGUAUUUGGUUUUUAUUUGUAUUAUUUUUUAUUAUUAAUAAUAAGAAGAACAUA